rnacentral:rRNA from 1 species
AGCUAAUAGAUACCCCGGUAGUCCACGCCCUAAACGAUGUCUACUAGUUGUUGGUGGAGUAAAAUCCAUGAGUAAACGCAGCUAAACGCGUGAAGUAGACCGCCUGGGGAGUACGGUCGCAAGAUUAAAAACUCAAAGGAAUUGACGGGGGCCCGCACAAGCGGUGGAUUAUGUGGAUUAAAUUCGAUGCAACGCGAAAAACCUUACCUGGCCUUGACAUGCCACUAACGAAGCAGAGAUGCAUUAGGUGCCCGUAAGGGAAAGUGGACACAGGUGCUGCAUGGCUGUCGUCAGCUCGUGUCGUGAGAUGUUGGGUUAAGUCCCGCAACGAGCGCAACCCUUGCCAUUAAUUGCCAUCAUUUAGUUGGGUCACUUUAAUGGGGACUGCCGGUGACAAACCGGAGGAAGGUGGGGAUGACGUCAAGGUCCUCAUGGCCCUUAUGGCCAGGGCUUCACACGUAAUACAAUGGUCGGUACAGAGAGUUGCCAACCCGCAGGGGGAGCUAAAUCUCAGAAAGCCGAUCGUAGUCCGGAUUGUUCUCUGC